rnacentral:lncRNA from 1 species
GUUCAAAACCACAACACUGAAGAACAUUUUGAUACAUUGGAGGUCAGAGUAGCCUUGACACCAAACUCCACGAAAAUCCUGACGAACUCUUUUUUUCUUGACUAUUUUGCUAAAAUUAGAGUAAACAAAACUUAGCCUCGCCAUGUUGUGAAAUAUUUUUGUAUUUUGUUUGGGUUUUGGUGUGUUGUUACGAUGGAUCUGUUUUGUAGAAGAGGUUGGGAUGCAGAGGAGAUGAAGUGGAGAAGGAUCUUUUAAUGGGUGUCUAGUGGUGAUUCUCAGUUAAUGGCAUUGUUGUUGUAAUGGAGGGAGUAUUUUGGUUGCUGGUGGAAUCAAUUUGUGGGAAGUGAUGUAGUCCAAUAAUUGUGGGAGGAGGUUACCGAUAAUUUUGUGGUAGGAGAUUUCGAAAUAUUGAGUGUGAGAUUUGGGGCGACAAUGGUGGAGCGAUUUGCCGCUGUGGGAAAGAGGGUGAUAUGUGUAAGUAUAAUUAUUAAAAUCCGGAAUUUUAUUUAAUUGCUUAAAAUUUGUGGGAUUUUAUAUAUUAAUGAUCCUCAUUUUGAGGGUUUGUGUAAUUAUAAAUAAUAAUUACUUGUUGCUUUUUCCAUUUUUGAAAACAAUUAUUUUCAAAGAACAAAUCUCUCCCCCUUUCAAAAAGAAUCAGAUAAGAACACACAAGAAUUUAUCCGAACAAUACUUGAGAAGUUAUCUCUUAUAACAAAUCCAAUCAAUUAAACAACAAGAAUUUAUCUGAAUAAUACUUACGAAGUUAUCUCUUAUAACAAAUCCAAUCAAUUAAACAACACUGAUAUGGGGAAAUACUGCUCUUGGACUUCUAACAGAGUGCCUAUCAGAAGACCAAAUUAUGUAUCCCUGUGAAUGUCCUGUAAGAUUUGACACCUAACUGUUGUAUUAUAUGAUACCUUCUGAUUCAACGCUAUAAAUUUCAAGAUCUUAGGAUUCACAGUCACCUCAACGCCUUUGAGCCCAAAUACUUUAACUGUGUAAGCUGAAAUUGCUUCUCCAACAUUAGUCACAGUCCUUGUAUAUGUUUGAGCACUUGAUAGCUUAGGAAUAGAAAAUGAUGGGUAGUUCAACUCUGAUUGAGGUAUGCUAGAAGUACAAUGUACCUUCUUUUUCACAAUGGCACUGACUUGAUCAUCUGUAUAGUUCAAGCCACAUAAGUAUGGGAUGUAAUCUUCUGGCUGGAUGUCAUAAAUGAGUCCUGGACCAGUUGCUCUUGAUGGAUUCACAUGCCCUG